AUAUUGCCGUUGAUGGAGAAAAGUAGCUAUAAUCCCACAAGAAAAGAGAGAAAAUGCCUUGGGCUGAAAGCAUUUUUACUUGCUGUAUAGUGAACGAACACUUCUGAGGUUUCACUUUGAAAAGAGUUAUUCUUAGUAGGAGAUGAACGCAUAAUUUUUGCGUUAUAAAAUAGAGUGGGAGCCUAAUGAUGCGGCUUCAACUAGGGUGGUACCACGAAAAUACUUUCGUCCCUACA
rnacentral:ncRNA from 1 species